UCUUUUCCUUUUGUGCCAGCAGCCGCGGUAAUACGGAAGGUCCGGGCGUUAUCCGGAUUUAUUGGGUUUAAAGGGAGCGUAGGCCGGAGAUUAAGCGUGUUGUGAAAUGUAGACGCUCAACGUCUGCACUGCAGCGCGAACUGGUUUCCUUGAGUACGCACAAAGUGGGCGGAAUUCGUGGUGUAGCGGUGAAAUGCUUAGAUAUCACGAAGAACUCCGAUUGCGAAGGCAGCUCACUGGAGCGCAACUGACGCUGAAGCUCGAAAGUGCGGGUAUCGAACAGG
rnacentral:rRNA from 1 species